AAACACACCCAUAGGAGUUGCUUCGGCAUUGCGGUUGCUGCUCCUUGUGGAGAGUGUGCGGUCACCCAGCCAAGAUGCCUGAGGAAACGCAGACCCAGGACCAGCUGAUGGAGGAGGAGAAGGUGAAGUCCUUCGCCUUCCAGGAGGAGAUAGCCCAGCUGAUGUCGCUGAUCAUCAAUACCUUCUAUUAGAACAAAGAGCUCUUCCUGCAGGAGCUCAUCUCCAACUCAUCAGGCGCACUGGAUAAGAUCAGGUACGAGAGCCUGAUGGACCCCAGCAAACUCGACUCUGGGAAGGACCUACACGUCAGUCUCAUUCCCAACAAGCAGGAGCGAACCCUCACUAUAGUGGACAUGGGGAUCGGAAUGAUUAAGGCUAAUCUGAUCAGUAACCUAGGCACCAUUGCCAAGUCGGACCAAAGCCUUCAUGGAGGCUCUGCAGGCAGGGGCUGAUAUCUCGAUGAUUGGCCAGUUCGGCGUACUUAGUGGCUGAGAAAGUGAAGGUGAUAACCAAGCAUAAUGAUGACGAGCAGUAUGCUUGGGAAUCCUGGCAGGGUGGGGUGCUCCUUCACCAUGUGGCCGACUGUGGGGAAUCUAUGGGUCCUGCAACAAAGGCUGUCCUACAUCUGAAAGAAGACCAAACCGAGUACCUCCUGAAGGAGAAUAAAAGAAAUUGUGAAGAAGCAUUCUCAGCUUAUCAGCUAUCCCAUUACACUGUUUGUGAAGAAGGAACAAGAUAAAGAAGAAAUGAGGCAGAAGAAAAGGAGGACAAAGAGGAAGAGAAGGAGAAGGAAGAGAAGGAAUCCAAUGACAAGCCUGAGAUAGAAGACAUGUGUUCUGAUGAGGAAGAGGAGGAGAAGAAGGAUGGGGACAAGAAGAAGAAGAAGAAGAUCAAGGAGAAGUACAUUGACCAAGAAGAGCUCAACAAAACAAAGCCUAUUUGGACCAGAAACGCUGAUGACAUCACUAAUGGGGAGUACAGGGAGUUCUACAAGAGCUUGACCAACGACCGGGAAGAGCACUUGGCAGUGAAGCAUUUUUCAGUUGAAGGAUAGUAGGAAUUCCGAGCUCUUCUUUUUGUCCCAAGAUGUGUUCCUUUUGAUUUGUUUGAAAACAGAAAGAAAAAGAACAACAUCAAGCUUUAUAUUCGCAGAGUGUUCAUCAUGGAUAACUGUGAGGAGUUAAUCCCACAGUAUCUGAGUUUCAUUAGAGGUGUGGUGGAUUCUGAUGACCUCCCUCUAAAUAUUUCCUGUGAAAUGUUGCAGCAAAGCAAAAUUUUGAAAGCCAUCAGAAAGAAUUUGGUCAAAAAAUGUUUAGAACUGUUCACUGAACUGGCAGAAGAUAAAGAGAACUACAAGAAGUUUUAUGAGCAGUUCUCAAAAAACAUAAAGCUUGGAAUUCAUGAAAACUCUCAAAACCGAAAGAAGCUCUCAGAACUGCUCUGCUACUACACCUCUGCUUCUGGGGAUGAGAUGGUUUCUCUCAAGGACUCCUGCACCAGAAUGAAGGAAAACCAGAAACACAGAAUCUAUUUUAUCACAGGUGAGACCAAGGACCAAGUGGCUAACUCUGCCUUUGUGGAACAGCUCUGAAAGCAUGGCUUAGAAGUGAUAUAUAUGAUUGAGCCCAUUGAUGAGUACUGUGUUCAACAGCUGAAGGAAUUUGAGGACAAAACUUCAGUGUCAGUCACCAAAGAGGUCUUGGAGCUUCCAGAAGAUGAAGAAGAAAAGAAGAAACAGGAAGAGAAAAAGACAGAGUUUGAAAACCUCUGCAAAAGUAUGAAAGACAUCUUAGAAAAUAAAGGUUGAAAAGGUGGUCUUUGUGUCAAACAGAUUGGUGACAUCCCCUUGCUGUAUUGUCUCAAGUACAUAUGGGUGGACGGCUAACAUGGAAAGAAUCAUGAACGCUCAAGCGCUAAGAGACAACUCCACAAUGGGCUACAUGGCAGCAAAGAAGCACCUGGACAUCAACCCCGACCACUCCAUUAUCGAGACCCUAAGGCAAAAGGCAGAGGCCAACAAGAACUACAAGUCCAUGAAGGAUCUAGUCAUCUUGCCGUAUGAAACUGCACUCCUGUCUUCUGACUUCAGUCUGGAAGAUUCCCAGACAUAUGCUAACAGGAUCUACAGGAUGAUCAAACUUGGUCUAGGUAUUGAUGAGGACGAUUCCACUGCUGACAAGAUCAGUGCUUCUGUGACUGAAGAAAUGCCGCCCCUUGAAGGAGAUGAUGACACCUCCCGAAUGGAAGAAGUGGACUGAGCU